rnacentral:rRNA from 1 species
UGGGGAAUAUUGCACAAUGGGCGCAAGCCUGAUGCAGCCAUGCCGCGUGUGUGAAGAAGGCCUUCGGGUUGUAAAGCACUUUCAGCGAGGAGGAAGGGUAGUGUGUUAAUAGCACAUUGCAUUGACGUUACUCGCAGAAGAAGCACCGGCUAACUCCGUGCCAGCAGCCGCGGUAAUACGGCGGGUGCAAGCGUUAAUCGGAAUUACUGGGCGUAAAGCGCACGCAGGCGGUUUGUUAAGUCAGAUGUGAAAUCCCCGCGCUUAACGUGGGAACUGCAUUUGAAACUGGCAAGCUAGAGUCUUGUAGAGGGGGGUAGAAUUCCAGGUGUAGCGGUGAAAUGCGUAGAGAUCUGGAGGAAUACCGGUGGCGAAGGCGGCCCCCUGGACAAAGACUGACGCUCAGGUGCGAAAGCGUGGGGAGCAAACA